AGACUUCCCCCCAAGAGAACAGGUGCCUAACAUCUUACACAACUAAGAGCAAAAGAGAGAAAAUCUCCAAGAGGAUAGGCUACAGUAAUUUGUCUAGAAAUGACAGUGUAAUGCCACUCUGGUCAAUGAGACCUAAGAGGAAGUCUACUGGAAGACAUCUGGGAAAGAUUUACCAUCCUGAAAAAAGACAUCUCUGGAGGCUGGGAAGUCUAAGAUCAAGGAUCUGGCAUAUGGCAAGGACUUUGCUGCAUCAUCAGAUGGAGGGAGACAAAAGGACAAAGAAGCAAAAGGGGUUCAAAUUUGCCUUAUUAUAAUGGCAUUAAGCUGGCUCGUGUAGGCAGAGCCCUCAUGGCCUAAUCACAUCUCAAAAGUCCCACCUCUUAAUACUGUUACAAUGGCAAUUAAAUUUCAACAUGAAUUUUGAA
rnacentral:lncRNA from 1 species